rnacentral:rRNA from 1 species
CAGGGAUUGCCUUAGUACGGCGAGUGAAGCGGCAACAGCUCAAAUUUGAAAUCUGGCCCUCGGGUCCGAAUUGUAAUUUGUAGAGGAUGAUUUUGGUGCGGUAUCUUCCGAGUUCCUUGGAACAGGACGCCUUAGAGGGUGAGAGCCCCGUACGGUUGAAUGCCUAGCCUCUGUAAAUCUCCUUCGACGAGUCGAGUAGUUUGGGAAUGCUGCUCUAAAUGGGAGGUAAAUUUCUUCUAAAGCUAAAUAUUGGCCAGAGACCGAUAGCGCACAAGUAGAGUGAUCGAAAGAUGAAAAGCACUUUGAAAAGAGGGUUAAAUAGCACGUGAAAUUGUUGAAAGGGAAGGAUUUGUGACCAGACUUUUUCUGGGCGGAUCAUCCGGGGUUCUCUCCGGUGCACUUUGCCCAGUAAAGGCCAGCAUCGAUUUUCGGCGGCGGAUAAAAGCAGUGGGAAUGUGGCUCCCUACGGGGAGUGUUAUAGCCCAUUGUAUAAUACGCUGCUGGGGAUCGAGGUACGCGCUUCUGCAAGGAUGCUGGCGUAAUGGUUAUCAAUCACCCGUCUUGAAACACGGACCAAGGAGUCGAACAUUUAUGCGAGUGUUUGGGUGUUAAACCCUCACGCGUAAUGAAAGUGAACGGAGGUGAGAGCCCGUACGGGUGCAUCAUCGACCGAUCCUGAAGUUUUCGGAUGGAUUUGAGUAAGAGCAUAACUGUUCGGACCCGAAAGAUGGUGAACUAUGCGUGGAUAGGGUGAAGCCAGAGGAAACUCUGGUGGAGGCUCGCAGCGGUUCUGACGUGCAAAUCGAUCGUCAAAUCUGCGCAUGGGGGCGAAAGACUAAUCGAACC